rnacentral:lncRNA from 10 species
CGCCACUGCACUCCAGCCUGGGCAGCAGAGUGAGACUCCACCAAAAAAAAAAAAAAAAGUGGAAUUGCUGGGUUGGAUGGUAAUUCCACACUUAGUUUUGUAGGGAUUCACUGUACUGUUUCCUGCAGCAGCGGCCUCAUUUUACAUUCCCACAGAAUCCACAUGGGUUCCAGUUUCUUCGCACCCUCACCAACACUUGUUAUUUUAUUUCUUUUUUUUUUAGAGAUAGGAUCUCACGAUGUUGCCCAGGCUGGUCUUGAACUCCUAGUCUCAGGUAAUCCUCCUGCUUUGGCCUCCCAGAGCAUUGAGCUUACACACGUGAGCCGCCAGGCCCAGCAAACACUUGUUUUUUUUUGUUUUUUUGAAACGGGGUUUCACUCUCGUUAACCAGGCUGGAGUACAAUGAUGUGAUCUCGGCUCACUGCAACCUCCCACUCCCGGGUUCAAGCGAUUCUCCUGUCUCGGCCUCCUGAGUAGCUGGGAUUACAGGCGCCGACCACUACACCCAGGUCCUGCAGAGAGAGAAGACCACGAGAAGCAAAAAGCAGCAAGAUGACUGGAAAGAUUCAGGAAUUGGGAGCAGUGAAUAACUCAAAGUGCAGUGGAGGUUGGUGCUGAACAUCAGCAUUAGCUGACAAUUUGUAAAAGAAGCAGUUCCUGGCCAGGUGCCAUGGCUCACGCCUAUAAUCUCAGCACUUUGGGAGACCAAGGAGGGUGUAUCACGAGGUCAAGAGAUCGAGACCAUCCUGGCUAACACAGUGAAACCCUGUCUCUACGAAAAAGAACACAAAAAAUUAGCCAGGUGUGGUGGCACGGGCCUGUAGUCCCAGCUAUUCGGGAGGCUGAGGCAGGAGAAUCACUUUAACCUGAGAGGCGGAGGUUGCAGUGAGCCGAGAUCGAGUCACUGCACUCCAGCCUGGGUGACAGGGCUAGAGUCCGUCUCAUAAAUAAAAUGAAAUAAUAAAAAACAGAUGUUCAAACUCACUGGUAAUCAAUGAAAUGCAAGUUAAAACAAUGAGAUACCAUUUUAUACCUCGCAGAGGGACAAAAAUUAGAGUUAGAAAAUAGCAGGGUGAAAAUUGGAGAAAUGAUCAUCCUUUUGUCUCAUUAUGGGAGUGCAAACUGGUGCAGAUAUUUAAGAAACAAAUGUGGCUGAAUUGGGGAAGUCAAGGAUAUAAGACCCAGCAACCAGCAAUCUCAGCCUGGGUUGGGAGGUGAAUUCUGUACAUCUGAGAGUUCGCCCAUCCACAAGGGGUCGUGUACAAGGAUGUUCACUGCAGAUUUGUUGUAAAAAUGAGGAGGUGGUGUCCAUCACUAAUGGAAUAUUUGGGUGCAUCUCAUGUGCUGCUGCUCAGCGGUAGGACCCAGGAGCGAGGUGGACAGGCAGCGGCCGGAGGAGGUCAGAAAAACAGUGCUGGGGC